GGUAGCAGGCGACCGGAUGUCGGUAUCCCAUAUCAGGGACGCUGAGGAAAGUCCGCCCACACGCAGAACACACGCAUCGAGAGAUGGCCAGGGGCAACAGAAACGAGACCAUUGUUUGCGAACGGAGUGAACCAAGUGCAUUCGAAGAAUGCGCUGUCGGCAUCGCCGGUCGAAAACGGCGGAUGAAACGGGCCCCUGAGUGUGCAACUCCCACGCGGAGGCUAAGUCGAAUUCCGGUGAGGCCAUGUCCUGAAAAGGGCAGAAACCCUUGCAUUAAUGGGUUUUCAAGGCCGGAACAGAAGGCGGCUUACGUCCUGCUGCC
rnacentral:RNase_P_RNA from 1 species